rnacentral:rRNA from 1 species
UGGGGAAUCUUGCACAAUGCGCGAAAGCGUGAUGCAGCAACGCCGCGUGGGGGAAGAAGGCCUUCGGGUUGUAAACCCCUUUCAGUUGGGACGAAGCUUCUGCGGUGAACAGCCGUAUGGAGUGACGGUACCUUCAGAAGAAGCCCCGGCUAACUACGUGCCAGCAGCCGCGGUAAUACGUAGGGGGCAAGCGUUGUCCGGAAUUAUUGGGCGUAAAGCGCGUGUAGGCGGCUCGAUAAGUCUGCUGUGAAAGUCCAAGGCUCAACCUUGGAAUGCCGGUGGAUACUGUCGAGCUCGAGUCCGGAAGAGGCGAGUGGAAUUCCUGGUGUAGCGGUGAAAUGCGCAGAUAUCAGGAGGAACACCAAUGGCGAAGGCAGCUCGCUGGGACGGUACUGACGCUGAGACGCGAAAGCGUGGGGAGCAAACAGGAUUAGAUACCCGCGUAGUCC